AUUCCAACUUUGGCACUAAUAUAAGCACUUAGAAGGAUGAUUUGUGUUGAGGGAUAAACAUAAGAAUCAUACCCUUCAUAUGGUGGUGUAUGGCAGUGAAGCGAGUCUCGCUAAAUGUUCAAAAAGGUAAACAACAAAAUAAAUAUUGAGGUUUGGCUGUUUUACCAAAUCUUGUAGUCUUCAAUCUUUACUAAAGAUUUCUGAUUUUCAUUAAAUUUUUAGAUAUUUAAAAAAACAGUACUAGUGCACCGGAAACAUUCAAAGCGUAGGAAGGAAAUCAAUCUUGCGUUCAGUAGUUU